UCCUAACUUUUCAAACGUAUAUUCCUCCGUUGUGCUUCAAAAACAGCCAACUUAUGAUUAAAUAUCAUCCUAUAAAGGAUAAACGCGAAAUUUUUGUGGCUAAUUUGAUUAACUUUAACAGCUCAUAGGUAAACAACUCGAAUACCCGGAGCCGUUAAGUUUCGUUUUACUGGCAGAGGCGGGCUAAACGAAAGUGAAGCCGACGACGACGAUGGUGAUGACGUGAAGAAGACUCAACUGACAGCACUUUGACUCCAGCAGACCUUCAACAUCACAGAAAAACUCUACGAGAACGAUUUAUUCCAUCAAACUAGCCACACAAUACCGGCAAACGAGUCGAAUCGAUUUCACCGCAAUGUCUUCUGGGAUUUGUAGGAGUUUCUAUUCAAUGCUGUGGUCAACUCACCUCAGAAUGAGAGGCCUUUCCAACUACCAUUUGUCCUGUUGUGUCAACACGCUGCUGCAGACUUUCUCUGCUACCUGGGAGCUCGUAGACCUUCUAGAAAAGUGGGAACCAGCUGCUGUGAGAUGGGCCGGUUCCAACGUUCCCCUGGAGCUAAAGAAAGUUCUCACGGCGAUGCGGGGCGACCUCCCUCAACCAGCUCCACAUCGGGACUUCCUCCACUGUCUGGAUAGAAACUACAUUAGACUUAGCACGCAGCACGAUGCUGACGAGGUUUUCCUCGCCAUUCUGAACCUAAUGCAGCAGCAGAUUGAUGACAGACGUCUGGCUUUGGAAAUCCAGGAUUUGUACAAGAUUUCAGUGGAAACGUAUCUGCAGUGUCUGCAGUGCAACUCCAUCAAAACCCUGAACAGCUACCAGCUCAGCCUGCCGCUGCACAUAAAGGAAGAUCACAACACGCUGGAGGACUGCAUGACCUCCUUCUUUGAACAUCAGGAGCUGACGGGCAUCAACUGCUGCUCUUGUGCACAUUGUGGAACCAGGAAUCCAUCCAAACAGGGCGUCAAACUCCGCUCCCUCCCUCGCAUCUUGUGCAUACACCUGAAACGAUUUCGAAACACGCGCGGUUUCCUCCAGAAGCUUCACUGCAGAGUCACGUUUCCAGAGCAUCUUAAUUUAGCUGAAAUUCUGACGGAAGCUUUUUCUACAGACUUUGCAGAGACUGAGUGCUCGUUCAGCCUGUAUGCAGUGGUGGUGCACUCCGGCUCUGCAAUGUCCGGACACUACACCGCCUACGUCCGAGAACAGAGGAGCAUGUGCUGGUACCAUGCCGACGACAGCUAUGUGCAGCCGGUUUCCUGGGAAGACGUACAGAUGACAUAUGGGGAGCGUUCAAGGGAAACUGCUUAUAUGUUGAUGUACAGACGAGAUCCGAGGAAGGAGGAGCCAAAUUCGACGUUUUCCGGAUGAAUCAAAAACUUUAUCUUUUUUUUUUUUAAAACCCUUAUAAUGUGUUUGGGUCAAAAUGGACCCGGUAGGGUCCAUUUUGACCCAAACACAAUAUAAGGGCUAAAAAAAAUCAACUCCAUAAAGCAAUGUUCACCAGCGACCAAUAGGUGGAGAUCAAGACUCAAAGCGUGGCAGCUUUUUCCCAUCAGACCACACACACUGUGAGCUCAUUCAGUGACACUGGUGUUGCACACGUCUGCUGGAAAGCAGCAAAGAACGCCGUCCUACAUUAGAUAAGAGGUGAAACCUUGCAGUGGAAGCCACAGUGCGUAAAGUCUGGCUGCAGCCCGUCAGCAGAGCGACCAAAGUUCCUACUCGCGCAGCCACAAGGCCGUGGGACCGUGUGAAACGGCUCCUAUGUGCAGCGGCGCUCUGACAGAAUGGAACAUGCCUGCACAGUGCCAGAGGCUGCGGGCCUCAUGCUUAGUCAUCUCCACGCUAAGCAGCACAAGCUCACCCCUUUCAGGUCUAGGAGGUGGCUAAGUCUUUCAAAGCGCCUGCAGAAUGCGUCUGUGGUCUGGAUCUGAGUCAAUGUCACAAACCUGAUCAGCAGUUCUCUUACUUUGAAGUCAACUCUGACUUUUAAAAGUGCCUUUAAAUGAUGUUUGGAUUACAAGUCACAUGGUACUUUGUGUUUAUUACUUACAUAGGAACAUUUUGAAGAUCCUUUUUAAACAAAUAAAAUAUUAAAUUACUUUGAAAAAUAUGAAAAUACAAGUUUUUUGGGUUGGAAUAAUCUGGGUUGUACCUAUUUUAAAUUAUUUGAAAUACAUCACGACUAAUUUUGCUUGGUAUAAAGUUUUUUGCUUCAUUUGGUCUUUAAAAUAAACAAAUUUAAAGACCAAUUCAGGUAAAAAUUGUGUUUUUAACAUGUUCUUGUAACAUUUUGGACAUAUUUUAUUAUAAUUUAAGAUAAAACUGUGUUUCUGAGUAUUUUUCAAUCAUGUUGGAUCUUUGCUAUGCUAAUAUUAGCUUGGGCUUGUGAGAUGCUAUAAGCUAGGAUGAGUGUAAUCAAAGGGUUGCUAGAUUUAUGCCAUCAAAAUAAAUUUCCUCCAUCCCUCUGGUAAAAUAAUGUAAGGGUAAAAAAGAAAAAAAGAGCGCAUUAUCGACAAACAGGUGUUGAAAUGUAUAUGUGUGUAAAAACACUUAGAAAUUUAGUGGGUAAAUGUGUAUUUUGUGUGGUUGUAAUAAUAUGUGUGUGUUAAAGCUCGAAAUAAAAAAUAAAAAAAUUGGCA